CCAAUGCUUCUAAUUUCAUAGCAAGCUCGCUUGCUAUGAAAUAGGCAACCAGUAAUAUAAGCAAGUGUGUGCUAUUUAUAGCGCUAGCCUACAAACCUAUAAUUAUAUUAACUCUAAGAGAAAUUUAAUAAUAAACGAAGUGAAUUGAAAUAUCUUAGUAACUUUAGGAAAAGAAAUCAAAAGAGAUUCUAUGAUUAGCGUGAGCUAAAAUAGACUAGCCUAAAAAGUCAAAUGGUGGAUAAACUGUUUAAAUUAAAUGGGGAACCUUCCUCAAAGGCUAAAUAUAAUAUAUAAGCGAUAGUGGAAAGUACCGUGAGGGAACCAAAACAAAAACAGUGAUUUUAUAAGCAGUUCGGAAAAAUAAAAAAAAAAGUUAGAACGUACCUUUUGCAUAAUGGGUCACCAAGUUAACAUUAGAUGCGAGUAGGAGGGAGCAGCCCCGUGCAUACGUAGUUAAACCGAGCGUUAAAAUAACGGUAAGUAUCUAAAGUUAGACCCGAAGCCUGGUGAUUUUACCAUAAUCAGGAUUAUAAAAGUCCGAACGGAAUAUUGUAGCAUAAAUAUCCGAAGAAUUAUGGUAGGUGUAGUGAAAGACAAUACUGACCAGGAUAGCUGGUUUUCUGCGAAACCUAUAACAGUAGGCAAUUUAAGUAUAAUAUCUUAGCAGGUACAGAAUUUAAUCUCAGACAAGACAUAAGGCUUAGCUUGUUAGCAAGUAAAGCUCAUGUUUUAUUUUGUACAAAUUGGGGGAUCAUGAAGAUUUUAUCAGUGAGUAUGUAGACUCGGAAUGGCAAAGAUAUAUCUUAAAUCAUCAGACAUAGAAUGAUAAGGUUGUAUGUCAAAAGGGAAACAGCCCAGAACAAGAGUUAAGGUUCCUAAAUUAUUAGUUGAGUGAAAUUAAGAAGGUUUUUAUUAAAGUCGACAAGGAGAUAGGCUUAGAAGCAGCCAUAAUUUUAUGACCUCGUAACAGAGCGCUUGUUAAGUUUUAAAAGCAUCGAAAAUUUAUCGGAUCUAAACAAUAUACCGAAACCUUGUCCAUAUUAUUUUAUAAUUAAAGCUUAAUUAUAAUUAAAUGGGGUAGCAGAACGUUGAGCUAAAUUAAGAUUUUUAUUUUUUAAAUGAAAUUAUAAUAAUUUAACUCAAGUGAUAAUGGUGACAUGAGUAACUAAAAGAAAAAAUAAAAUUUUUCCGCCUAAAGCUUAUGGAUGUAAUUAAGUAACGGCCUCUAAGUUUAUAUUAUCUAAAGAUUUAAACGAUGAGAUAAUCUUUUGUACUAAGGACGACAUUUUAAGUGAAAAAUGUACUGGAAAAAUAGUACUAAAUUAAUGGCUAUAGCUAAUUAGGGCUAUAAAAAAAAAUUUAUUUUUUUUUUUAUAAAGCUCGCUAUAGCUAUAAAUGAAAAGUAACCGUACCUAGAAUCUGAAACAAGUAAGCUAGUAGAGAAUACGAAGGCGUAAAUGAGCUAACAAUCAUAAAGGAACUCGGCAAAUUGACUACCGUAACUUCGGGAUAAGGAGAGCUCAUUAUUCUUGAUUAAUAUCAGGUAAAGAGGAAGAAGCAUGAAAUAGUGUUGUACGACUGUUUAAUUAAAACACAGCACUUUGCUGAAAGAUUAAAAAUCUAAGUAUAGAGUGUGAUGUCUGCCCGGUGCCGGCUGGUUAACAGAUAUAAUUAAAUAUACUAAUAUUUGAUGUAGACGGAAACCCCGGUUAAAGGCGGCCUUAACGUGAGGGUCCUAAGGUAGCGAAAUGCCUUGGCCGUUAAAUGCGGUCUUGCAUGAAUGAUGUAACGAUACAACAGCUGUCUCUAUGAUUGACUCAGUGAAAUUGGAAUAGCUGUGCAGAUACAGUUUACCUCUAGUUAGACGAGAAGACCCUAUGCAGCUUUACUGUCACUAAUUAUAGAGUAUGAUAAACAAUUUUCAGAUUAUAAGGUAAUUGACGGCUAGCUUGUUCAGCAAGCUAGCUCUAUGACAAUGAGAAUCCUUUAUUUUUUUUUCAUAUGAAUGAAUUGGUUUAGGAUUAUGAGUAGGUAGCUGCUUCUGCUACUUGGCGCAAGCAUUGCUUGCGUCAAGUGUCUGAAGUAUGCAUUCCAGCUCAUGCAUAGUAAAUCAACCUAAUUCAGCUUAUUUUCCUUUCUGCCAUAAGCGCAUAAUGAUAGAUUUAACUUAAAUUUUGAUUUAUGCCGAGCCCCUCCGGGGCUACUGCAGAAAUAGAUAAGUACCCUUGGCUAAGGAACUAUCGCUAGGGGACAGUUUAUGUGGGGCACAGACCCUGUAAAGAGUAAACAGGAGUGUCUAAUAAUUUAUAAUUAUUUUGUUUGCGAUUUAAGAUAGUGAAACUAUUUUUAAUCAUAUAAAAUUAUUUAUAUGUACAUUCGUUGUAUAUAUAUUUAAAAAAAGGUAGGAUUUUCACUAUAUAGAAAUUAGAGAUAAUAAAAAUAUUAAGAAUAUACCUUUCAGGUAACACUAAUAUUUUUUAGCUAUUAAGACAGGCUAUCAAGCUAGGCUCUAAUAGUUAUGUAUUAAUUAUCUAAAAAGCUCAACGGCUAAAUCUUGCCUUACUGUUUGAUUAUCAACAAAUCUUACAGUUGCGUAAGCAGGGCAUAGGAUCACAAGAUGCAACAAGGAAAGAUCUUGGAUUAUUGGAAAAGCUACGCUAGGGAUGUUUGUCCUUUAAUAUUUUAUUACACAGCGGCUUUAGUUA
rnacentral:rRNA from 1 species